rnacentral:rRNA from 1 species
GACCUCGCGCUACAAGAUGAGCCUAUGUCGGAUUAGCUUGUUGGCGGGGUAAUGGCCUACCAAGGCGACGAUCCGUAGCUGGUCUGAGAGGACGAUCAGCCACACUGGGACUGAGACACGGCCCAGACUCCUACGGGAGGCAGCAGUGGGGAAUCUUGGACAAUGAGGGAAACCUUGAUCCAGCAAUGCCGCGUGUGUGAAGAAGGCCUUCGGGUUGUAAAGCACUUUCAGUGGGGAAGAAAUUCUCAUAGGUAAUAUCUUUGAGCGUUGACGUUAUCCACAGAAGAAGCACUGGCUAACUCUGUGCCAGCAGCCGCGGUAAUACAGAGAGUGCAAGCGUUAAUCGGAAUCACUGGGCGUAAAGCGCGCGUAGAUGGAUAUUUAAGUCGGAUGUGAAAGCCCUGGGCUUAACCUAGGAAUUGCACCCGAUACUGUAUAUCUUGAGUAUGGUAGAGGGAAGUGGAAUUUCCGGUGUAGCGGUGAAAUGCGUAGAUAUCGGAAAGAACACCAGUGGCGAAGGCGGCUUCCUGGACCAAUACUGACAUUGAGGCGCGAAAGCGUGGGGAGCAAACAGGAUUAGAGACCCUGGUAGUCCACGCCGUCAACGAUGAGAACUAGCUGUUGGGAAGUUUACUUUCUAGUAGCGAAGCUAACGCGUUAAGUUCUCCGCCUGGGGAGUACGGCCGCAAGGUUAAAACUCAAAGAAAUUGACGGGGGCCCGCACAAGCGGUGGAGCAUGUGGUUUAAUUCGAUGCAACGCGAAAAACCUUACCUACCCUUGACAUCCUCGGAACUUGUCAGAAAUGACUUGGUACCUUCGGGAACCGAGUGACAGGUGCUGCAUGGCUGUCGUCAGCUCGUGUCGUGAGAUGUUGGGUUAAGUCCCGUAACGAGCGCAACCCUCAUCCUUAGUUGCCAGCGGUUCGGCCGGGAACUUUAAGGAGACUGCCGGUUAUAAACCGGAGGAAGGUGGGGAUGAUGUCAAGUCAUCAUGGCCCUUACGGGUAGGGCUACACACGUGCUACAAUGGGCAGUACAAAGGGUUGCUAAACCGUGAGGUGGAGCUAAUCCCAGAAAAUUGUUCGUAGUCCGGAUUGAAGUCUGCAACUCGACUUCAUGAAGUUGGAAUCGCUAGUAAUCGCGAAUCAGAAUGUCGCGGUGAAUACGUUCUCGGGCCUUGUACACACCGCCCGUCACACCAUGGGAGUG